UCGGUCUCUCGAAAUUGAGUCUCCUUGAUUACGAGGAACCCAACGGCCUGACGGUAAGACCCUACGCUA
rnacentral:rRNA from 1 species